GAUGAACGCUGUCUACAGGCUUAACACAUGCAAGUCGAGGGGAAACGCCGGGGAAGCUUGCUUCCCCGGGCGUCGACCGGCGCACGGGUGAGUAACGCGUAUCCAACCUGCCUCUGACUGAGGGAUAACCCGUCGAAAGUCGGCCUAAUACCUCAUGGCAUCGUCUGCGGGCAUCCAACGACGAUUAAAGAUUUCAUCGGUCAGGGAUGGGGAUGCGUCUGAUUAGCUUGUUGGCGGGGUAACGGCCCACCAAGGCUACGAUCAGUAGGGGUUCUGAGAGGAAGGUCCCCCACAUUGGAACUGAGACACGGUCCAAACGCCUACGGGAGGCAGCAGUGAGGAAUAUUGGUCAAGGGGCGGGAGCCUGAACCAGCCAAGUAGCGUGCAGGAUGACGGCCCUAUGGGUGGUAAACUGCUUUUAUGCGGGGAUAAAGUGAGGGACGUGUCCUUCAUUGCAGGUACCGCAUGAAUAAGGACCGGCUAAUUCCGUG
rnacentral:rRNA from 1 species